GAUGAACGCUAGCGGGAGGCUUAACACAUGCAAGUCGAGGGGUAUAGUAGCAAUACUAGAGACCGGCGCACGGGUGAGUAACGCGUAUGCAACCUGCCCUUUACAGGGGGAUAGCCCGUCGAAAGGCGGAUUAAUACCCCAUAAUAUUGUACCAUCGCAUGAUGGAACGAUAAAAGCUGCGGCGGUAAAGGCAGGGCAUGCGUGACAUUAGCUUGUUGGUAGGGUAACGGCCUACCAAGGCUACGAUGUCUAGGGGUUCUGAGAGGAAGGUCCCCCACACUGGUACUGAGACACGGACCAGACUCCUACGGGAGGCAGCAGUGAGGAAUAUUGGUCAAUGGGCGCGAGCCUGAACCAGCCAUCCCGCGUGCAGGAAGACGGCCCUAUGGGUUGUAAACUGCUUUUGUGCAGGAAGAACGCCAGGUACGUGUACUUGGGUGACGGUACUGCAUGAAUAAGCACCGGCUAACUCCGUGCCAGCCGCCGCGGUAAAAC
rnacentral:rRNA from 1 species